UACGUAGGUGGCAAGCGUUGUUCGGAAUUACUGGGCGUAAAGCGCGUGUAGGCGGCUCUUCAAGUCAGACGUGAAAGCCCGGGCUUAACUCGGGAACUGCGUUUGAUACUGUCGAGCUAGAGUGUGGAAGGGGCGAUUGGAAUUCCGUGUGUAGCGGUGAAAUGCGUAGAUAUACGGAGGAACACCAGAGGCGAAGGCGGAUCGCUGGGCCAACACUGACGCUGAGACGCGAAAGCUAGGGGAGCAAACGGG
rnacentral:rRNA from 1 species